AGGCGCAUAGCUCAACUGGUAGAGCAGUGGAUUCCAAAUCCACCGGUUGGGGGUUCGAAUCCUCCUGCGCCUG
rnacentral:tRNA from 1 species